rnacentral:rRNA from 1 species
ACGGGAGGCAGCAGUGGGGGAUAUUGCACAACGGGGGAAACCCUGAUGCAGCGACGCCGCGUGAGCGAAGAAGUAUUUCGGUAUGUAAAGCUCUAUCAGCAGGGAAGAAAAUGACGGUACCUGACUAAGAAGCCCCGGCUAACUACGUGCCAGCAGCCGCGGUAAUACGUAGGGGGCAAGCGUUAUCCGGAUUUACUGGGUGUAAAGGGAGCGUAGACGGCGAGGCAAGUCUGAUGUGAAAGCUCGGGGCUCAACCCCGGAACUGCAUUGGAAACUGUUUUGCUAGAGUGUCGGAGAGGUAAGCGGAAUUCCUAGUGUAGCGGUGAAAUGCGUAGAUAUUAGGAGGAACAUCAGUGGCGAAGGCGGCUUACUGGGCUUUAACUGACGCUGAGGCUCGAAAGCGUGGGGAGCAAACAGGAUUAGAUACCCUGGUA